GACGAACGCUGGCGGCGUGCCUAAUACAUGCAAGUAGAACGCUGAAGGAGGAGCUUGCUUCUCUGGAUGAGUUGCGAACGGGUGAGUAACGCGUAGGUAACCUGCCUGGUAGCGGGGGAUAACUAUUGGAAACGAUAGCUAAUACCGCAUAAGAGUAGAUGUCGCAUGACAUUUGCUUAAAAGGUGCAAUUGCAUCACUACCAGAUGGACCUGCGUUGUAUUAGCUAGUUGGUGAGGUAACGGCUCACCAAGGCAACGAUACAUAGCCGACCUGAGAGGGUGAUCGGCCACACUGGGACUGAGACACGGCCCAGACUCCUACGGGGGGCAGCAGUAGGGAAUCUUCGGCAAUGGACGGAAGUCUGACCGAGCAACGCCGCGUGAGUGAAGAAGGUUUUCGGAUCGUAAAGCUCUGUUGUAAGAGAAGAACGAGUGUGAGAGUGGAAAGUUCACACUGUGACGGUAUCUUACCAGAAAGGGACGGCUAACUACGUG
rnacentral:rRNA from 1 species